rnacentral:tRNA from 1 species
GUUCUUAUAGUUGAAAUACAACGGUGAUUUUUCGUGUCAUUAGUCGUGGAUCUGCCCAUGUAAGAACA